rnacentral:rRNA from 1 species
UACGAACUGCGCGAACGUUAUUCGGAAUCACUGGGCUUACAGGGUGCGUAGGCGGCCUGACAGGUCCGAUGUGAAAUCCCCCGGCUCAACCGGGGAAUGGCAUUGGAAACCUUCAGGCUGGAGUGAGCUAGAGGUGCACGGAACUUCCGGUGGAGCGGUGAAAUGUGUUGAGAUCGGAAGGAACACCAGAGGCGAAGGCGGUGCACUGGGGCUUGUCUGACGCUGAGGCACGAAAGCCAGGGGAGCGAACGGG